rnacentral:lncRNA from 1 species
UUUCAUGGGUUGAAGAAAGAUGGUCAAACUCGGUAAUUUCUCGCCCGUACUCGUGCCGAACCGAGGUGGUGGCAGGGUGUUCGCCGAGGCCACCUCGGAUUUGCCGAGUUGCACGCUCCUUGAAGUCUUACAACGAUCACUGAUCGGCCCUCAUAACCAUGGCUAUUCUCUUCGUCGAUUCUCAUAUCGGGCAGCUUGCUCCCUGAUUUCCCAUGCCCCCGCCCACGGCCCUCCUUGUCCAUUCCCAUGUUGGUCAAUUCCCAUGUGCAGAAACCACAACCAAAUCAUCUGAAUCCCUUAUUAUCCUACAAAUUCGUUUUCAUCUAUCAGAAAUUGAUACCAAAUCACUUGACCCGAUCAAAAUCGCAGAGAAUUUAUUUUGUAAACAAAUUGGCGACUUUUCGUCAGGAUCAUUUCCAUAGUAGAAGCAGAGCGGUUGAAGUAUUCAUCAUAAUUGAGUUGAUAUGAAAUUAGUAGGUAUGUAUUGGUUUCUUUCCUUGUUUUCCUUCACUAUUUUACUUCCAAACACUCCUUUGUAUCUAAUGCAUAUUAAGUGUUUGACGAAAUGCCUAACUGAUUUUAUUUAUUUAUUUAUUUAUUUAUUUAUUUAUUUAUUUAUUUUUAAUUUAAUGCAAUAUUAGCUCUAUGGUUUGUUAAUACCGAGGUGUUCUGAAUUCAUAGACUAUUAAAAAAACAAAGAAUACUUACAGGAAAUAAGUACUGAUCUCCAAAUAUUCGUCAAUUCUUACAAAAAAAUUGUACACACCCAAUACAAUAUGAGAGAAGUAAUGGUUCCUAGGCAGUGCGAUUAUUAUGUUAGCUAACAUUACAUUUUCAGAUUAACUAAAUUUGCUUCUUACUAUAGCUAGUUAAUUUUCUUAUGAUGUGUUUGCAAAAAAAUUGAUCAACAUCAAAUAUCUUGUCUUUGAUUUUUUUUUUAUUCAAUUCUCAUCAAAGUAACAAUAUUCGUAAAUUAAACAAAUUGCAAUUUCUUCCAUGAUGUAUUGAGAAUCAGUGAAACUAAGAUGAUAUAUAGCACUUAUACGUUGUAUUUUUCAAGUAAAUAAUUACAUAAGAAAUAGAUCCUGAUUACCAACCUGCUGGUGAUUACGCCAAUGGCAACUCACUAGAGUCUCAUGAACCCCUAUAAACAUAGAGACUAGCAUAUAAAUAUUAAAAUAUACAUUGCUAGAAAGGAUAUUGCAUUAUCCAGAAAUAGGUGUAAAUGAAUGAACCUUAACUUUGCUUAGUGCAUUAAUGGCUAUAUGAUAAUUCCAUGAUUAUUAGGCAACUUUUGAUGGUGAUUCUUCUGAAUUAUGUGUGCUAGAACUCAUAAUCGCAAUCUCAACCUUGUUCUUUGGAAUAUGGCAUGACAUGGAUAUAACAUUAAUUGAUUUAAUGUGUCAAAAAAAGAAAGACUCAAGUUUGACUUCAGACAAAGAGAGUAAGCAGAGACUAAAGGUACUCUGUUUGGUUUUUUAGUAGCACGUCUUCCAUUCAAAUUAACAGCCGAUUGCAUGUAAAUUGCUUUGAAAUGCAAAACUUCUUUUUAAUAUUUAAAGUUGUCAUCUUUGUAAAGAAAUUUUUUAUCUAUAAUAUAAAAUAUAAAUAUCUAUUUCCUAAUACAAAAUUUGUAUAUAUGAAUGAGUAAUGUAGCAUAGGCGGUAUAUAGCAUCAAAAUCAUAAAAUUAUGUUACCGAAUUGCCUACAAUCUUUGGCAACUCUCUUGAAUUUGAAUUUUAUGGUAUAGAGUUUGGUGGCCAAAGUAAAUACAUAAAACACAAAUAUUUUGUUGAAAUUUUUUCAGGGUAACUAAUUAUUCCACAUCAAUUGAUAG